rnacentral:rRNA from 1 species
GACGAACGCUGGCGGCGUGCUUAACACAUGCAAGUCGAACGGAAAGGCCCUGCUUUUGUGGGGUGCUCGAGUGGCGAACGGGUGGGUAACACGUGAGUAACCUGCCCUUGACUUUGGGAUAACUUCAGGAAACUGGGGCUAAUACCGGAUAGGAGCUCCUGCUGCAUGGUGGGGGUUGGAAAGUUUCGGCGGUUGGGGAUGGACUCGCGGCUUAUCAGCUUGUUGGUGGGGUAGUGGCUUACCAAGGCUUUGACGGGUAGCCGACCUGAGAGGGUGACCGGCCACAUUGGGACUGAGAUACGGCCCAGACUCCUACGGGAGGCAGCAGUGGGGAAUAUUGCACAAUGGGCGGAAGCCUGAUGCAGCAACGCCGCGUGCGGGAUGACGGCCUUCGGGUUGUAAACCGCUUUCGCCUGUGACGAAGCGUGAGUGACGGUAAUGGGUAAAGAAGCACCGGCUAACUACGUG